ensembl:lncRNA
AUAACCUUAUGACUCUGUUCAUUUUAUGAGUAUAUCCUUCUGCCAUGCUUCACAUAUUUACUGCUGCUUGGCUAGCUUUAAUCAUGCCAGCAUGAGCACAGGCAGAAAAAGGUACCAAUCAGAGAUAUCACAUGUAGCUUGUGUUUAUGUUCAGAGUGACAUCUGAUUUAAAAGCAGGGAGAAAAGGACACUGAGAUGUUCAGAUGUUUUCUGACUCUAUUUUUUUUUCUUUUGUCAUUACUCAAAAGAGCUACUUUUCAACUUUCAAACUUCUGUGUGAAUAUCAGCUUAUUCAACAUUUUUAACUUAACAUUCAGCAAUCAUUUUUGAGGCAACAAUUUUGCAUAGUUUUUUUUUUUUUUUAAGUUCUACGAACUAAUUAGAUUUUACAAUGCAACAGCUACAGUUGCCCUGGGGAAAUCAAGCAAAGGAAACAGGGUCUAGCUGGGUCUGGACUGAUUGGUCUAGUGUUUUGUAGAAACGUACUCCAUUUCUUUCAUCACAGCUGUCCUGUGCCAGAUGAGGCAGACAUUAUGUCAGAAACAUCAGGAACCCUGAAGUUCAUUCCAGUAAUCAAAUAGGACCCAGCAGCUCCCUCAGAGGGAAGAAUUGUUUUUAUUUAUUUUUGUUUUCUUUUUUUGUUCUGAGACAUGUGAAGCUAGAGACACCAGUAACCAUAGUCAGUUGUCUUCCAGGAGCCAGAGCAGGUGACAGUGAGGGAAAUUUAAAACUGCUGGCUGAGGGUAAAUGUAAAUUCAGUAAAAUGAAAAAGGCAGUAAUGACACCCGGUUACGUCAAUCAGAGGUCAUGAAAAUCAAUAUUGAAUUGGUGUGUAACUUUACCAGAACAAUAUCGGGCUCUGUAGUUUUCUCUGGUCCCCUCCCCAAUUGGACCAGGAGUCACAUGUUUAGCCACAUGUUCUCCUUAUAUUUCUGUCUGUCUGAGUGGAGUCCAAAUUCAAAUUCAAAUUCAAAUUCAAAUUCAAAUUUUAUUUGUCACGUACACAGUCAUACACAGUACGAUAUGUAGUGAAAUGCUUGGACAACUGCUCGUGACCUAAAGAAAACAAAAAAAGGAAAAGGCUAUGAAUAAGAUAGGAAAUAAA